CGCGUAGGCUGUUUUACAAGUCAGAUGUGAAAUCCCCGAGCUUAACUUGGGAAUUGCAUCUGAAACUGUUGAACUUGAGUCCUGGAGGGGGUAGCGGAAUUCCCAGUGUAGCGGUGAAAUGCGUAGAUAUUGGGAGGAACACCUGCGGCGAAGGCGGCUACCUGGACAGUGACUGACGCUGAGGCGCGAAAGCUAGGGGAGCGAACG
rnacentral:rRNA from 1 species